rnacentral:rRNA from 1 species
CAGCAGCCGCGGGAAUACAGAGGGUGCGGGCGUUAAUCGGAUUUACUGGGCGUAAAGCGUGCGUAGGCGGCUUCUUAAGUCGGAUGUGAAAUCCCUGAGCUUAACUUAGGAAUUGCAUACGAUACUGGGAAGCUAAAGUAUGGGAGAGGAUGGUAGAAUUCCAGGUGUAGCGGUGAAAUGCGUAGAGAUCUGGAGGAAUACCGAUGGCGAAGGCAGCCAUCUGGCCUAAUACUGACGCUGAGGUACGAAAGCAUGGGGAGCAAACAGGAUUAGAUACCCCUGUAGUCCCUGUCUCUUAUAC